rnacentral:rRNA from 1 species
UACGUAGGCAGCGAGCGUUGUUCGGAGUUACUGGGCGUAAAGAGCUCGUAGGUGGCUUGUCGCGUCUGCCGUGAAAGCCCAUGGCUUAACUGUGGGUCUGCGGUGGAUACGGGCAGGCUGGAGGCUGGUAGGGGCAAGCGGAAUUCCUGGUGUAGCGGUGAAAUGCGCAGAUAUCAGGAGGAACACCGGUGGCGAAGGCGGCUUGCUGGGCCAGUUCUGACGCUGAGGAGCGAAAGCGUGGGGAGCGAACAGG